GUAGCAACAGGAAAAUGCUAGUUGAUAGUACCGUAAAUAAUUUCUCUAAAUACUUGUAUGUAAAAUUAAAAUGGCUGGAAGUUGAAAAAGGUAACCCUUCAAUAAUGUUUAGAGACAUUCUUCCUGUUUGCCCAAGCUGUCUGCUGUAGCAAUGUAUCUGUUUGCAGUUUAAAUUCAGUGUUUUAUGAAUUAGCAAUCAUUAUUGAUCACAUUUACUAUAUUUAGUUCUAUUUUUUGUUUUGUACAACCUAUUGAAUAGAAAUGGUGUUGGCGACCUCC